AAUAAGUGCAGUUUUGUAUUGUUUAUGUUUAACGUUUGAUAGUUCAUCUUAUUUAAAAAAAUUUUAUGAUUAGUUUUUUGUUGUUAUUAGAUGAUAAAACAUGAAUAGUGAUUUUUUUAAUAAGUUUUAUAAAUAAGACGGACGGUUAAACGUUGGAUACGAAUAUCCACGGCUGUACUUAUU
rnacentral:pre_miRNA from 1 species